rnacentral:rRNA from 1 species
GGCCUACCAUGGUGGUAACGGGUGACGGAGGAUUAGGGUUCGAUUCCGGAGAGGGAGCCUGAGAGAUGGCUACCACAUCCAAGGAAGGCAGCAGGCGCGCAAAUUACCCAAUCCCAACACGGGGAGGUAGUGACAAUAAAUAACAAUACGGGGUUCUUUCGGAUUUCGUAAUUGGAAUGAGUACAAUUUAAAUCUCUUAACGAGGAACAAUUGGAGGGCAAGUCUGGUGCCAGCAGCCGCGGUAAUUCCAGCUCCAAUAGCGUAUAUUAAAGUUGUUGCAGUUAAAAAGCUCGUAGUUGAAUUUCGGGGUUAGUAGGUUGGUCAUGCCUCUGGUAUGUACUGGUCUCACUGAUUCCUCCUUCCUGAUGAGCCGUAAUGCCAUUAAUUUGGUGUUGCGAGGAAUCAGGACUGUUACUUUGAAAAAAUUAGAGUGUUUAAAGCAGGCAUACGCUUGAAUACAUUAGCAUGGAAUAAUGAAAUAGGACGUUUGAUUCUAUUUUGUUGGUUUCUAGGAUCGACGUAAUGAUUAAUAGGGAUAGUCGGGGGCGUCAGUAUUCAAUUGUCAGAGGUGAAAUUCUUGGAUCUAUUGAAGACUAACUACUGCGAAAGCAUUCGCCAAGGAUGUUUUCAUUAAUCAGUGAACGAAAGUUAGGGGAUCGAAGACGAUCAGAUACCGUCGUAGUCUUAACCGUAAACUAUGCCGACUAGGGAUCGGGCGAUGUUUCUAUAUUGACUCGCUCGGCACCUUACG